AGAGUUUGAUCCUGGCUCAGGAUGAACGCUGGCGGCGUGCUUAACACAUGCAAGUCGAACGGGAUCCAUCAGGCUUUGCUUGGUGGUGAGAGUGGCGAACGGGUGAGUAAUGCGUGACCGACCUGCCCCAUACACCGGAAUAGCUCCUGGAAACGGGUGGUAAUGCCGGAUGCUCCGACUCCUCGCAUGGGGUGUCGGGAAAGAUUUCAUCGGUAUGGGAUGGGGUCGCGUCCUAUCAGGUAGUCGGCGGGGUAACGGCCCACCGAGCCUACGACGGGUAGCCGGCCUGAGAGGGCGACCGGCCACAUUGGGACUGAGAUACGGCCCAGACUCCUACGGGAGGCAGCAGUGGGGAAUAUUGCACAAUGGGCGCAAGCCUGAUGCAGCGACGCCGCGUGCGGGAUGACGGCCUUCGGGUUGUAAACCGCUUUUGAUCGGGAGCAAGCCUUCGGGUGAGUGUACCUUUCGAAUAAGCACCGGCUAACUACGUGCCAGCAGCCGCGGU
rnacentral:rRNA from 1 species